rnacentral:rRNA from 1 species
CGGGUGAGUAAUGCUUGGGAAUCUGGCUUAUGGAGGGGGAUAACUACGGGAAACUGUAGCUAAUACCGCGUAGUGUCGAGAGACGAAAGUGCGGGACCGAAAGGCCGCAUGCCAUGAGAUGAGCCCAAGUGGGAUUAGGUAGUUGGUGGGGUAAAGGCCUACCAAGCCUGCGAUCUCUAGCUGGUCUGAGAGGAUGGCCAGCCACACUGGAACUGAGACAGGUCCAG